rnacentral:rRNA from 1 species
AUUGAACGCUGGCGGCAGGCCUAACACAUGCAAGUCGAGCGGAUGAAGGGAGCUUGCUCCUGGAUUCAGCGGCGGACGGGUGAGUAAUGCCUAGGAAUCUGCCUGGUAGUGGGGGAUAACGUCCGGAAACGGGCGCUAAUACCGCAUACGUCCUGAGGGAGAAAGUGGGGGAUCUUCGGACCUCACGCUAUCAGAUGAGCCUAGGUCGGAUUAGCUAGUUGGUGGGGUAAAGGCCUACCAAGGCGACGAUCCGUAACUGGUCUGAGAGGAUGAUCAGUCACACUGGAACUGGGACACGGUCCAGACUCCUACGGGAGGCAGCAGUGGGGAAUAUUGGACCAUGGGCGGAAGCCUGAUCCAGCCAUGCCGCGUGUGUGAAGAAGGUCUUCGGAUUGUAAAGCACUUUAAGUUGGGAGGAAGGGCAGUAAGUUAAUACCUUGCUGUUUUGACGUUACCAACAGAAUAAGCACCGGCUAACUUCGUGC